rnacentral:rRNA from 1 species
AGCGGCGAACGGGUGAGUAACACGUGAGUAAUCUGCCCCUAGCUCUGGGAUAGCUCCGGGAAACCGGGAUUAAUACCGGAUACGACCACUACGGACAUCUGUGGUGGUGGAAAGAACUUCGGCUAGGGAUGAGCUCGCGGCCAUCAGCUUGUUGGUGGGGUAACGGCCUACCAAGGCGACGACGGGUAGCCGGCCUGAGAGGGCGACCGGCCACACUGGGACUGAGACACGGCCCAGACUCCUACGGGAGGCAGCAGUGGGGAAUAUUGCGCAAUGGGCGAAAGCCUGACGCAGCGACGCCGCGUGGGGGAUGAAGGCCUUCGGGUUGUAAACCCCUUUCAGCAGGGACGAAGCGAAAGUGACGGUACCUGCAGAAGAAGCGCCGGCUAACUACGUGCCAGCAGCCGCGGUAACACGUAGGGCGCAAGCGUUGUCCGGAAUUAUUGGGCGUAAAGAGCUCGUAGGCGGUCUGUUGCGUCCGCUGUGAAAACUCGGGGCUUAACCCCGAGCCUGCAGUGGA